GAUGAACGCUGGCGGCGUGCCUAAUACAUGCAAGUCGAGCGAACAGACGAGAGUGCUUGCACUCUCUGACGUUAGCGGCGGACGGGUGAGUAACACGUGGGUAACCUACCUAUAAGACUGGGAUAACUUCGGGAAACCGGAGCUAAUACCGGAUAAUAUUUAGCUUCGCAUGAAGCAAUAGUGAAAGACGGUUCUGCUGUCACUUAUAGAUGGACCCGCGGUGUAUUAGCUAGUUGGUGAGGUAACGGCUCACCAAGGCAACGAUACAUAGCCGACCUGAGAGGGUGAUCGGCCACACUGGGACUGAGACACGGCCCAGACUCCUACGGGAGGCAGCAGUAGGGAAUCUUCCGCAAUGGACGGAAGUCUGACGGAGCAAUGCCGCGUGAGUGAAGAAGGUUUUCGGAUCGUAAAACUCUGUUGUAAGGGAAGAACAAGUACGUUAGUAACUGAACGUACCAUGACGGUACCUUACCAGAAAGCCACGGCUAACUACGUG
rnacentral:rRNA from 1 species